CAAACCAAAGCUGGCGACCGGCGCACGGGUGAGUAACACGUAUCCAACCUGCCUCAUACUCGGGGAUAGCCUUUCGAAAGAAAGAUUAAUAUCCGAUAGCAUAUAUUUCCCGCAUGGGUUUUAUAUUAAAGAAAUUCGGUAUGAGAUGGGGAUGCGUUCCAUUAGUUUGUCGGGGGGGUAACGGCCCACCAAGACUACGAUGGAUAGGGGUUCUGAGAGGAAGGUCCCCCACAUUGGAACUGAGACACGGUCCAA
rnacentral:rRNA from 1 species